GUGGGAGUUGGGGUAGGAGGUCAGGCUCACACAAAGCAUCCACCCAAGCCCUUUGGAGAAAGGGAAGAUGCCUGCUGUGGACUGUGGGCAGGUAGACACUUCUGCAGACACUCAGAGAGUGAAUGAGGGGAAGUGGCCUGGCAGAAUUCAUGAGACCUUAACCAAGGACGGAAUGAGGGACUGGUCACUUAGACUGAUAUUUCAGGUCUUUGGGUUAUGAUGUGGACAGAGGCCAUUGUUCUUCAAAGGAGCACGUCUUUCAUGUAUUCAGUCUCAGGUGGGAGCUCAAGACACAUGAAGACACUGGAACAGCUGCAGGAACUUGGGGGCGGGGGAGGAAAAAGGGUCAGAGGGACAGGCGAGGUUGGCAGAGGGUUACUACGGUGCAGUAAGUCCCCUACAUAGGAACCUUCAAGUUGUGAACUUUCAAAGACGCGAAUGUGCAUUCCAUCAACAUCAGGCGUGAGUGAAACUGUGGCUUGCCCUCCACCUCCUCUUGCUGACGAUCCUUUAACUCUACCGUCUCCCGCCUCCUCUCCCUCCUCCAGUCAGUAACGCUUCCUGCCUGUUCACUGGAUGCCAGCUCCUGUAUGCCAGCUGUUGUACUGCACUACUGGACUUUCAAGAAUUUCCCUGGGCUAGUGGUAGCCUGCCUAAGGACUGAUUGUUCCUGACUGCAUUCUCUGCCUGUGCCCUCUUCAUUCUGCACAAACUCCCUCUCUGUAGGGAAUGAGAAUGGGAGGAGCUUGUAGCCCACCAGGCUCCUCUUUCUAUGGAAUUCUCCAGGCAAGAAUACUGGAGUGGGUUGCCAUUUCCUUCUCCAAGGAAUCUUCUUGACCCAAGGAUGGAACCCACGUCUCCUGCUUGGCAGGCAGAUUCUUUACCACUGAACCAUCAGGGAAAUAAAUAUUAAAUUAUAAUAAACAUUUAUCAUCAUAUUAAAUAAAUUAAUAUAUUAAAUUGUAACAAAUGCAACAUAUUUAUUUAUUCCUUUAUUGUUUAUUUCCUUCUCCUCUCAUCCCCUGCCCUUCCUAUUAGAAUGCAAAUUCCACAAGGAGCUUUUGUCUCUUGUUUACGGAUGGAUCUAGAACUGUAUGCUCUCUGGAUAUCUGUUGAAUGAACAAAUGAAUCAACGCAUGCUUGGUUGAGGAGGAAUAAGAAAGUUGUAUAGGGCAAAAGGCUAAUAAGACUGAUAUAAGGGUACUUUCCUGGUGGUGUAGUGAUUAGGUCUCCAUGAUUCCACUGCAGAGGGUAUGCAUUUGAUCACUGGUCUGGGAACCAAGAACCCGCAUGCUGCAGGGCCGCAAAAACUAAACCAAAAAAGACUAUUUAAAAAGACUAACAAGGACAGUAUGCUGUCUUUGACAUAUUGAUUUCUGUUCUACGGAGAGAGAGCAGUUGCAAGAAGAAAAUGAAGACAGUGUUUGACAAAGUAUAUUUGCUAAGAUGGGUUUCAGCAGUGCAACUUUGUGUUUAGGGGAUAGAGUGAGACCUGAGUGGGAGACAACAUUGGCAAGUACCUCCACAGCGGUGCCUCAAGGCUUAGCAUCUUAGAUGACAGAUGUAGACAGGUUCCUUGGCCCAGGGUAGCAGCAAUGUCUCAGAAAUUAUUUUAUAUACAUUUAUCUCUCUUGGAGUGAAUACUAAACAGAGUGUGGAG
ensembl:lncRNA